rnacentral:rRNA from 1 species
AGAGUUUGAUCCUGGCUCAGGACGAACGCUGGCGGCGUGCCUAACACAUGCAAGUCGAACGAGGGCCCAGAGCUUGCUCUGGAGACCCGAGUGGCGAACGGGUGAGUAACACGUGACCAACCUAUCCUAGGGCGGGGGACAACCCGGUGAAAACUGGGCUAAUACCGCAUGAUUUCUCCACAUCGCAUGUCGUGGAGAUCAAAGAGGGCCUCUGCUUGCAAGCUCUCACCCAAGGAGGGGGUCGCGACGUAUCAGCUUGUUGGUGGGGUAACGGCCUACCAAGGCUACGACGCGUAGCGGGUCUGAGAGGAUGAUCCGUCACAUUGGGACUGAGAUACGGCCCAGACUCCUACGGGAGGCAGCAGUGGGGAAUAUUGCGCAAUGGACGAAAGUCUGACGCAGCGACGCCGCGUGUGGGAGGAAGCCCUUCGGGGUGUAAACCACUGUCAGAGGGGAAGAACACCGUCGGCCCGAAUAAGGUCGGCGACUGACGGUACCCUCAGAGGAAGCGCCAGCUAACUCCGUGCCAGCAGCCGCGGUAAGACGGAGGGCGCAAGCGUUGUUCGGAAUUACUGGGCGUAAAGGGCGGGUAGGCGGCCUGUUAAGUCGUGUGUGAAAAUCCGGGGCUCAACCCCGCGAAAUGCUCACGAUACUGGCAGACUGGAGACCGGUAGAGGCUAGCGGAAUUCCUGGUGUAGCGGUGGAAUGCGUAGAUAUCAGGA